AUUGAACGCUGGCGGCAUGCUUUACACAUGCAAGUCGAACGAGUGGCGCACGGGUGAGUAAUACAUCGGAACGUGUCCUAUCGUAGGGGCUAACUGCACGAAAGAUCAGCUAAUACCGCAUACGAUUGGAGCGGACGUUGCCCGAUUAGCAAGUUGGUGAGGGAAAGCCUCACCAAGGCGUCGAUCGGUAGCUGGUCUGAGAGGACGACCAGCAGCACUGGGCCUGCGACACGGCCCAGACUCCUGCGGGAGGCAGCAGUGGGGAAUUUGGGACAAUGGGGGCAACCCUGACCCAGCCAGGCCGGGUGCAGGUUGAAGGUCUGCGGAUUUGAAGCUGCGUUUGUCAGUGAAUCGGUACCUGAAGAAUAAGCCCCGGCUAACUACGUGCCAGCAGCCGCGGUAAUAC
rnacentral:rRNA from 1 species